rnacentral:rRNA from 1 species
UAGCGGAGCGUGUGGUUUAAUUCGAUGCAACACGAAGAACCUUACCAAGGUUUGACAUGCUGGAAGUAGAGAACCGAAAGGCCAUCGACCUGUUAAGUCAGGAGCCUGCACAGGUGCUGCAUGGCUGUCGUCAGCUCGUGCCGUGAGGUGUUGGGUUAAGUCCCCCAACGAGCGUAACCCUUAUUGCCAGUUAUUUUCUCUGGCGAGACUGCCCCGCAAAACGGGGAGGAAGGUGGGGAUGACGUCAAGUCAGCACGGCCCUUAUACCUUGGGCUACACACACGCUACAAUGGACGGUACAAUGGGUUGCAAUGGAGCGAUUCGGAGCUAAUCCAAAAAGUUGUUCUCAGUUCGGAUCGCAGGCUGAAACCCGCCUGCGUGAAGUCGGAGUUGCUAGUAACCGCAUAA